rnacentral:rRNA from 1 species
AGUUGAUUAUGGCUCAGGACGAACGCUGGCGGCGUGCCUAAUACAUGCAAGUCGAACGGUCUUUCUAUGGAAGCUUGCUUCCACUGAGAAGAUAGUGGCGAACGGGUGAGUAACACGUGGGUAACCUGCCCAUAAGAGGGGGAUAACAUCCGGAAACGGGUGCUAAUACCGCAUAGUUUUCUUGAUCGCAUGAUCGGGAAAGGAAAGACGGCCUUUGUGCUGUCGCUUAUGGAUGGACCCGCGGCGUAUUAGUUAGUUGGUGAGGUAACGGCUCACCAAGGCGAUGAUGCGUAGCCGGACUGAGAGGUCGAACGGCCACAUUGGGACUGAGACACGGCCCAAACUCCUACGGGAGGCAGCAGUAGGGAAUUUUCGGCAAUGGGGGAAACCCUGACCGAGCAACGCCGCGUGAAUGAAAGACGUAUUUCGGUAUGUAAAGUUCUUUUAUUAAGGAAGAAUAUCACGGAUAGGAAAUGAUCUGUGAGUGACGGUACUUAAUGAAUAAGCCCCGGCUAACUAUGUGCCAGCAGCCGC